CAGUCGCCACGGGAAUACAGAGGGUGCAAGCGUUAAUCGGAAUUACUGGGCGUAAAGCGCGCGUAGGUGGUUUGUUAAGUUGGAUGUGAAAUCCCCGGGCUCAACCUGGGAACUGCAUCCAAAACUGGCAAGCUAGAGUAUGGUAGAGGGUGGUGGAAUUUCCUGUGUAGCGGUGAAAUGCGUAGAUAUAGGAAGGAACACCAGUGGCGAAGGCGACCACCUGGGCUCAUACUGACACUGAGGUGCGAAAGCGUGGGGAGCAAACAGGAUUAGAUACCCGCGUAGUCCCUGUCUCUUAUAA
rnacentral:rRNA from 1 species